rnacentral:rRNA from 1 species
UGGGGAAUUUUGGACAAUGGGCGCAAGCCUGAUCCAGCCAUGCCGCGUGCAGGAUGAAGGCCUUCGGGUUGUAAACUGCUUUUGUACGGAACGAAAAGACUCCUUCUAAUAAAGGGGGUCCAUGACGGUACCGUAAGAAUAAGCACCGGCUAACUACGUGCCAGCAGCCGCGGUAAUACGUAGGGUGCGAGCGUUAAUCGGAAUUACUGGGCGUAAAGCGUGCGCAGGCGGUGAUGUAAGACAGGUGUGAAAUCCCCGGGCUUAACCUGGGACCUGCAUUUGUGACUGCAUAGCUAGAGUACGGCAGAGGGGGAUGGAAUUCCGCGUGUAGCAGUGAAACGCGUAGAUAUGCGGAGGAACACCGAUGGCGAGGGCAAUCCCCUGGGCCUGUACUGACGCUCAUGCACGAAAGCGUGGGGAGCAAACA